UAUGAGCAGGCGCUGACAGCGGAGGAGCUGCGCAGGAGGAGACAGGCCUACUUCGACAGGCAGCAGGCUCAGUCCUCCGCUCACCACAGCAGCUCCGCCGGCGGAGAGAAGGACAGCGGGACCAAACCCAGCCAGUGACGGUCCAUCAGCGCCGGUGACGGACGCCCUCGACCCGACCUCUCUCUGGGAAUGCUGGGACUCUCACCUCCUCUCAGAACUGGCCCGGGACCGAUCGGGUCCUGCUGUGUAAUAAAGGGACAUUCGUUUAGCUUCGCUUCUCCUCUUUGAGUUGGACGAGGUGAAAGGGAAGCGUUUCUCCGGAUCAUUCCUCUUCCUCAGACGGACACACGAGCGAGACGAGACCGCGGCGUGAGGAGGGAGCUGUCAGCGCUGGGAUCACUCCUGCAUUCUGGGACCGUUGGGCUUUACUGGCGUUACUGGAUCUCUCUGCUCUUCUCCUCUGUGGACUGUAGUGAAGACCUUCUGCUGGUCACCAGUGAUUCACUCUCACGCGCCCUAGUUAGACAGCACAGUGUGCGUGAGGAGAUCAGUCAUCGUUCAGAUUCAGACCUUCACUUGUUUUAGUCGUUCAUCAGUCGUUCCUCAUUUGUUGGCAGGCAGCAGCUCUUUUGGAUCUAGGUUGUGAUUUCUCAUGGUUUUCUAUGAUUUCAUGCGUUUGGUGGCACAGCAGCGUUUCUGAACUCGUUUCACAUUCAGCAGUAGUUUUUAAGUGAUUGGUUGUUCUCGCACUCCUAUAUACACUUAUUGUUUCUUAAAUAAAAACCUUUCUUUUUCCCCUGAGUGGAUGUUCUUUGUUUCUUCUCUUGAUUCUGUGAGCCUCUUGAAGACGUCAGAUGUUCCUUCAGCGUUUAGUGCUGGAGUUUCAUUCCCGAUGGAAAGAAGAGCGAGUCUGUCAGUGAAUACUGUGUACAAACUACUGUAAAUACGAUGGAGUGAUGCACUGUGUCAAAGUUAUACUCCGAGCAUCCAGUCAAAAAAGUGAAACGUUCCCACAUUUAAUCAUAUCGAAUUGAAAGAAUCGCACAACGGAGGAGAUUAUUUUCAGUGAAACAUCUGAUGCACAGACUUCAUCAAGCAGACAAAUGAAGAUCAUCUUCAGCUGUGAUCAUGAUUCAGAUGCUUCACUUGAGGACAAAGACUGACGGCACAGCACACAAACAAAUGACAAAAUGAUCAUUCAGUCCGUCAUCAUUUACUCUCCUCGUGUCGUCUGAAACCUCCUGCCUUCUGCGGAAUAUAAAAGCAGCGUUUCUGUCCAUACAGUGAAAGUCAGUGGUUGUUUUGGAUGACAUUGACGCUCACUCUGUGGGCUAAACUUUACUGU